UAAUAAGUGUUUUAUGGCACUUUUUUAAAUCCAUAUCCACCUUGUGUGCAAUGUCAGUCGAUCUUCUUCAUGGAGAUUGACCAAACAUCAACCUUUAUCUUUUAAACUACUUUGUCUGAAAAAAUAUUAUGAAUAAACAAUUCAAAAUA
rnacentral:misc_RNA from 1 species